GAUGAACGCUGGCGGCGUGCCUAAUACAUGCAAGUCGAGCGAACAGACGAGGAGCUUGCUCCUCUGACGUUAGCGGCGGACGGGUGAGUAACACGUGGAUAACCUACCUAUAAGACUGGGAUAACUUCGGGAAACCGGAGCUAAUACCGGAUAAUAUAUUGAACCGCAUGGUUCAAUAGUGAAAGACGGUUUUGCUGUCACUUAUAGAUGGAUCCGCGCCGCAUUAGCUAGUUGGUAAGGUAACGGCUUACCAAGGCAACGAUGCGUAGCCGACCUGAGAGGGUGAGCGGCCACCCUGGAACUGAGCCACGGUCCAGACUCCUACGGGAGGCAGCAGUAGGGAAUCUUCCGCAAUGGGCGAAAGCCUGACGGAGCAACGCCGCGUGAGUGAUGAAGGUCUUCGGAUCGUAAAACUCUGUUAUUAGGGAAGAACAAAUGUGUAAGUAACUAUGCACGUCUUGACGGUACCUAAUCAGAAAGCCACGGCUAACUACGUG
rnacentral:rRNA from 1 species